rnacentral:rRNA from 1 species
CCUACGGGCGGCAGCAGUGAGGAAUAUUGGUCAAUGGGCGCGAGCCUGAACCAGCCAAGUAGCGUGAAGGAUGACUGCCCUACGGGUUGUAACCUUCUUUUAUAAAGGAAUAAAGUGAGGCACGUGUGCCUUUUUGUAUGUACUUUAUGAAUAAGGAUCGGCUAACUCCGUGCCAGCAGCCGCGGUAAUACGGAGGAUCCGAGCGUUGUCCGGAUUUGUUGGGUUUAAAGGGGUCGUAGACGGGUUGUUAAGUCAGUUGUGAAAGUUUGCGGCUCAACCUUAAAAUUGCAAUUGAUACUGGCGGCCUUGAGUACAGUUGAGGUAGGCGGAAUUCGUGGUGUAGCGGUGAAAUGCUUAGAUAUCACGAAGAACUCCGAUUGCGAAGGCAGCUUACUAAACUGCAACUGACAUUGAUGCUCGAAAGUGUGGGUAUCAAACAGGAUUAGAUACCCGGGUAGUC